AAAAAAGCUGUCAUGAUUCCAUAGACAGCAGGUGCAAAUGCAAAAAGCAUUGCUUAAAGUUAGCCUGCCGAGGAAACGAUGAUAAGGAUAUUUUAUGACUUUUCAUCCGCUCUUUUCUGCCUCGGUGGUCUCCACUGGGAGAAAGGAGCUUUUUUAGUUUUCGG
rfam:Clostridium sp. CAG:242 genomic scaffold, scf254